rnacentral:snRNA from 1 species
GGGCAUGAGGGCAAUCUGGCUGUGACAUCUGUCACCCCAUUGAUCGGUAGGGUUGAUUUCGCUGACCGGGCUGGCUAGAUGGGUGCCUCCUUCCUCCCUCACCUCUCCAUGCGAGUCCCUCCCAAAGCUGCAUGCUCAGCUGAAAAGGAUGACCUUCCCCGAUACAGGUGGUACCAUUCGUCAGUUACAGAUACAUGGUAGCUGCGCACGCCUGCUAAAACCUCCAAACAAGCUCAAGAUCCAGUUGUAGGAAAAUGCAGGGUAGUCAAGCUUCCAAGACUGCAGACACAUCCAAGUGAGGCACUGCACAUGACAGUUUGUCAUUCUUU